CUGGUUGAUCCUGCCAGUAGUCAUAUGCUUGUCUCAAAGAUUAAGCCAUGCAUGUCUAAGAAUAAACCCUUGGACGGUGAACCUGCGAAUGGCUCAUUAAAUCAGUUAUUGUUUAUUUGAUGGUACCUUACUACUUGGAUAACCGUAGUAAUUCUAGAGCUAAUACAUGCGCCAAGCCCUGACUUCGGAAAGGGUGCAUUUAUUAGAUUCAAACCAUCGGUCCGUCUGGGCAACUGGGCGUGGCCUUUGAUGGUGAGUCAUAAUAACUUAGCGAAUCGAAUGGCCUUGAGCCGUCGAUGCUUCAUUCAAAUUUCUGCCCUAUCAGCUUUCGAUGGUAGGAUCUUGGCCUACCAUGGCUAUAACGGGUAACGGGGAAUUAGGGUUCGAUUCCGGAGAGGGAGCUUGAGAAACGGCUACCACAUCCAAGGAUGGCAGCAGGCGCGCAAAUUACCCAAUCCCGACACGGGGAGGUAGUGACAAUAAAUAACGAUGCUGGAUUAUUCUUAAUCCGGCAAUUGGAAUGAGAGUGAAUUAAAUCUCCACUCGAGGAACCAUUGGAGGGCAAGUCUGGU
rnacentral:rRNA from 1 species